CGUAGGGGGCGAGCGUUGUCCGGAAUUACUGGGCGUAAAGGGCGCGUAGGCGGUUCGCUAAGUCCGUUGUGAAAGACCGAGGCUCAACCUCGGGGUGUCAACGGAGACUGGUGGACUCGAGUCUCGGAGAGGAGCGGGGAAUCCCUGGUGUAGCGGUGGAAUGCGUAGAGAUCAGGGGGAACACCGAUGGCGAAGGCACCGCUCUGGCCGAACACUGACGCUGAGGCGCGAAAGCUGGGGGAGCGAACGGGAUUAGAUACCCCGGUAGUCCCAGCCGUAAACGAUGUCGACUAGGUGUGGGGGGAGUCACUCCCUCCGUGCCGCAGCUCACGCAUGAAGUCGACCGCCUGGGGAGUACGGCCGCAAGGUUG
rnacentral:rRNA from 1 species